rnacentral:rRNA from 1 species
GACGAACGCUGGCGGCGUGCUUAACACAUGCAAGUCGAACGGAAAGGCCCUGCUUUUGUGGGGUGCUCGAGUGGCGAACGGGUGAGUAACACGUGAGUAACCUGCCCUUGACUUUGGUAUAACUUCAGGAAACUGGUGCUAAUACCGGAUAGGAGCUCCUGCUGCAUGGUGUGGGUUGGAAAGUUUCGGCGGUUGGGGAUGGACUCGCGGCUUAUCAGCUUGUUGGUGGGGUAGUGGCUUACCAAGGCUUUGACGGGUAGCCGGCCUGAGAGGGUGACCGGCCACAUUGGGACUGAGACACGGCCCAGACUCCUACGGGAGGCAGCAGUGGGGAAUAUUGCACAAUGGGCGGAAGCCUGAUGCAGCAACGCCGCGUGCGGGAUGACGGCCUUCGGGUUGUAAACCGCUUUCGCCUGUGACGAAGCGUGAGUGACGGUAAUGGGUAAAGAAGCACCGGCUAACUACGUG